UACGGAGGGUGCAAGCGUUAUCCGGAUUCACUGGGUUUAAAGGGUGCGUAGGCGGGCAGGUAAGUCCGUGGUGAAAUCUCUGAGCUUAACUCAGAAACUGCCAUGGAUACUAUUUGUCUUGAAUAUUGUGGAGGUGAGCGGAAUAUGUCAUGUAGCGGUGAAAUGCUUAGAUAUGACAUAGAACACCAAUUGCGAAGGCAGCUCACUACACAGUUAUUGACGCUGAGGCACGAAAGCGUGGGGGAUCAAACAGG
rnacentral:rRNA from 1 species